AUUGAACGCUGGCGGCAGGCCUAACACAUGCAAGUCGAACGAGUGGCGGACGGGUGAGUAACGUCUGGGAAACUGCCUGAUGGAGGGGGAUAACUACUGGAAACGGUAGAUAAUACCGCAUACCAUCGGUUGUGGCCAGAUGGGAUUAGCUAGUAGGUGGGGGAAAGGCUCACGUAGGCGACGAUCCCUAGCUGGUCUGAGAGGAUGACCAGCCAAACGGGAACUGUGACACGGUCCAGACUCCAAGAGGAGGAAGCAGUGGGGAAUAUUGCACGAUGGGCGCAAGCCUGAUGCAGCCAUGCCGCGUGUAUUAAGAAGGCAUUAGGGUUGUAGGGUGGUUUCAGCGGGGAGGCGUUACCCGGAGAAGAAGCGCCGGCUAACUCCGUGCCAGCAGCCGAGGUAAUUC
rnacentral:rRNA from 1 species